AAAAGAUCGAUCAUUUUGCAAGUGAGAUAAAAAUACAAAUGUACUCAUACUGCAAAAACACAUCUUAAUACAAUAUCAUUAUUUUAGAAACUGCAAGUAACACCCAUUAACGUUGACAUAACAUAAAUAAGUAACUUGAAUCAAGUUUACGUACAUGACGAUGAAAAGACAAAGACAUAGACAACAUUAUCAUGGACCAUGAUUAGCAUCAAACUUUAGGAAUGAUCAAUUCAUUUGCCACCAAAACGAGCCUUAAGUUUCUUCACUUGUUCUACAUCAAGGAAGGUAGUCUGUGCAAUCACUUCAGAAGGUAAGCUGUUACCAAACAACAAAAGGUCAAGUAGUUGUGCUCCAGGGUUUGCGCUACUGAAAGCCAGAAAUGCAGUGGCUUUUCCCUUUCCAGAGUUCACUUGAAAAUGCAGUUGUCCUUGUGGGAAAACCAUUACAUCUCCUGGUUUCAGUGUCUUCAUAUAAAGAUGAAAUGGUGUCAUAAAACCAGCAGUGAUUUGACCUUCCACCAUUAUCAAAAGUUCAGUAGCUCCAGGGUGUGUGUGCAUUGGGAUUGAUCCACCUUUUGCUAUGUCUAACCGUGCUGCGGAAACACCAAGACCAUUCAAACCUGGAAAAUCAGUGACAAAUGCAGAGGUUAAUGCAGCAUUGAAAGUGUUUGUGGUAUUUCCCGCAACCAAGCCAGAGAACACAAAGUCAUCCGCGGUCACUGUGUUAGGUGGUUUGCACUGAUAG
rnacentral:sRNA from 1 species